GGUUGGUUAUCAGCUUCUAGCAAGACACGAGGUGCACGAAAGAAUUAUAUGGUCAUGAAUUUGCAACUGGCUCAAAGGGAUAAGAGAGUGGAAAUCUGGGCCAUAGAGAGAGAAUCUUCAGUUAAACAGUUGACGACCUUGCCACAAUUUAGAAGCAGUGUUACUGCCUUUUUCUUGGGUUGCAAUUGAUCAUCAAAAGAAACCAGGGGUUUCUUAGCAGUUGGAAUGGAAGAUAGACUCAUUGAACUGUGGAGUCUUGCUAUCAGAAGAUCUGAGUACACAGUGCCAGAUGUAGCUGCUGCUCUUAUCCUAGGGCUUGAUUCCCUCAUGUGCCACGUUUCUCCUGGGAACUGUAUGUCAUGGAGAAACCACGAAAAGAGUGAAGAUAGCAAGAGUUUGCAACAAGCUUCUUGUGGAGCUGAUCAAUGUGUGAGAGUUAAGUAAUCACAUGAACGAAUUUGUAUAAUCAAUAGGCAAUUUUGUAAUGCAUCCAUUAAUUAGUGGCUUGUUCUAAUCUCUUCACCACUUUUAAUGAAUCAGUUUGAUAAAUAUCUACUAGAGAU
rnacentral:misc_RNA from 1 species